GCAAGGGAGGCUGGGAAAUGAAGUCUCUAGUUGGAUAGCGAAGACAACAGAAGAUGGUACUUAAGGCUUUGGCUCUGGAAAAAGAGAUACCUGGAUUCUGAUCCUGAAGUCUCUCACUUAAACUCUACAAGUCUCACUUUCUCAUCAGAUAAGUUCUCCAAGAAACAGAUUUGCAUGCAGGAGUCUUAUUGGGGAAUGCUUUCAGGAACUACUACCCCGUGUGGGAGCGAGAGAAGCAGGACUGUGCAGAAGGAGAAGUUGAACAACUCCAUGGAAAGCUCUGAAGCUGGGAUCAUCCUUCCAGAAUGUCUUGGAUUGAGACAAAGGCCUUAUCUUGUACAAGAUUCAUGUGUCCAUGAGCUCAUUUCCACCAGAACUCAGCCCAGGCUGCUGUGGGAUGGAAUCACUUGCACCUGGAUGUGCUUUCUGGGCUGGUACAUACAGAAGACAUCGGAUGCCACUGGUCCUGCCCCUUCUUGCCCUUUCUCCUUGCUGCCUUGAAUGAAGACUUGAAGGCUGGAGUUCCUGCAGCCAUCAGCCUCUAUGAAAGAAAGACCAAGAGAACUGUAGUGACACCAGCCGUGACAUUGUUGCUGAUAAACCAAUGCCAGUAACCAUUCUACCUCUAGAUUUUGUUAUGUGAAAAGAAUAAAUCUCUAUUUGUUUAGGCC